UACGGGGGGGGCAAGCGUUGUUCGGAAUUACUGGGCGUAAAGGGCUUGUAGGUGGCCAACUAAGUCAGACGUGAAAUCCCUCGGCUUAACCGGGGAACUGCGUCUGAUACUGGAUGGCUUGAGUGUGGGAGAGGGAUGCGGAAUUCCUGGUGUAGCGGUGAAAUGCGCAGAUAUCAGGAGGAACACCCGUGGCGAAAGCGGCUCUCUGGGACGGUACUGACGCCGAGACGCGAAAGCGUGGGGAGCAAACAGG
rnacentral:rRNA from 1 species